CAAUACUCCCGCCGGCGACCGGCGCACGGGUGAGUAACACGUAUGAAACCUGCCCGUAGCAGGGGGAUAAGCGGAAGAAAUUCCGUCUAAUACCGCGUAACAACCCGAGGAGGCAUCUCCUCGGGUUUAAAGGAAGCGAUUCCGGCUACGGAUGGUCAUGCGUCGCAUUAGCUAGUUGGCGGGGUAACGGCCCACCAAGGCGACGAUGCGUAGGGGUUCUGAGAGGAAGGUCCCCCACACUGGUACUGAGACACGGACCAGACCCCUACGGAAGGCAGCAG
rnacentral:rRNA from 1 species